AUUCCAUUCAUUUUCACUCCAAGAAAGUGCUAAGGCAAGAAAGUGCUCUCACUCUCUUCUCCCCUCUCCAUUUUCGUCCCUCCACAUCUCCCCCACUCCCAAGACUCUUCUCCCACCAUUAUCACACUCCAUAGAAGCCCUUGAAGCCCCAAGAGGAGUAUCAAAGCAAGGGAGAGCAUGGGAAAACUAGGGCGUAAAGUUAGAGUGAAGGUUGUGCUUCGAGGGAAUUGGUUCACAGGACGGUACCACCGCUUAAGAUCACCUCUCUUCCACACUGAGGAUCAGGUUGAGCAGUGGCUGAUGGAGAUGAAGUGAAGAGCGGAGCUUUUGUCAUAAGUUAAAUGAAUGAACUCUUGGAUACAUGUCUUCAUACAUGUAAUCAGAUUAUGUUAUUCCGCUGCGUACUCUUAGGUUUUAUGUUCUUUCAGUUAAGCCAGUUUUAUCUGAACCUACAAGUCUGUUCGAGUCUUGUGACUAAACAUCAGGUGUAUUAUAAAUUUUCCCUUCUUUAAAUAAAUUUUAGUUCGAUCCUCUA